rnacentral:sRNA from 1 species
ACUCAACGUUAAUUCUUUAAAAAGGGUGAGUUUAAACUGUAAAAUCGAGCUGCUAUCAUUGAACUUAUUUCAAUGUUUUGGGCAGAUUUUUGAUCAGUUUGUUAGCCCUAAACUUGUUUUUAAGGAGUUU